rnacentral:misc_RNA from 1 species
AACGCAUCUUGCGCUCUUUGGCAUUCCGAAGAGCAUGCUUGUUUGAGUGUCGCAAACCUCUCACGCCCCGGGUUCUUACCGAUCCGUGCGGCUGUGGACCGUGGCCCUGGCCGGUGCUCGUCGUCGGCCUGGCCGAAAUACAUGCGGAGCGCCUCUGCUGCCCGCGACGACCGAGCGUUGUAGACCCCUCGCUUGAUCGGCGUGAGCGCAGGCUCCCAACCUUAUCUAUUCGACCUCAAAUCAAGUAGGACUACCCGCUGAACUUAA